UGUGUGUGCAACUGUGCGUCCUGCGAGAA
rnacentral:piRNA from 1 species